rnacentral:rRNA from 1 species
AUUGAACGCUGGCGGCAUGCCUUACACAUGCAAGUCGAACGGCAGCACGGACUUCGGUCUGGUGGCGAGUGGCGAACGGGUGAGUAAUAUAUCGGAACAUACCUUGUAGUGGGGGAUAACUAUCCGAAAGGAUAGCCAAUACCGCAUACGCUCUAAGGAGGAAAGUGGGGGAUCGCAAGACCUCAUGCUAUAAGAGUGGCCGAUAUCUGAUUAGCUAGUUGGUGAGGUAAAGGCUCACCAAGGCGACGAUCCCUAGCUGGUUUGAGAGGAUGAUCAGCCACACUGGAACUGAGACACGGUCCAGACUCCUACGGGAGGCAGCAGUGGGGAAUAUUGGACAAUGGGCGCAAGCCUGAUCCAGCCAUGCCGCGUGUGUGAAGAAGGCCUUCGGGUUGUAAAGCACUUUCAGUAGGGAGGAAGGGUUAAGUGUUAAUAGUACUUAACUUUGACGUUACCUACAGAAGAAGCACCGGCUAACUCUGUGCCAGCCGCCGCCGUAACAC